AUUUUAGAAACUCAAAUGUCAAAUACAUAUGUGUACGAUGAACGUGGAAUUUAUCGUUUGUAUAAUUCGACGUCGCGAUUUGGAUGAAUGUCCAAUCUGUUCCUGUGUUGGCGAAACUUUUAGGUUAUGUUUACCUGUAAAAUGUUGAGUGUUCAAUUUGUUGAAGUUAACACUUGCCGAAACCCAUCAUAUAAUUGGAGUUUUAAUUUAAUAUCCUCCAAUUCCUGGAUGACAAACUCCUAAUUGAAACCCACGUGUUGGACGUAUCUUCCACAGAUAUUUAUCCAGAAGUACAAAAUUGAAAUACAGUUGAUUGAAACAAUUUAAAAUACUACUCGAUUGAAACAAUUUAAGUAAUUCUACUCGAUUGAAACAGUUUUAGAUGUAGGUGGGAUUUUGGAGGCAAAAUUGUCACCAACCAGUUGAAAAAAAACAUAACUAUUAUGUUUGUAUGAAAUUAUGUUAUGCAGUGACUAUGAUGAAAUUUCCCUAUAAAUAAGGGUGAAUAUACUAAUGUAUUUUUAGCAGAUUCACUACAUAACA